UGGAGCCUACCAUAGCCUCCUCAUCCAUUUUGCACCAAAGUCGCACAGCUACACAUAUGAAGGCAUGCUGGCAAGGACCCAGAUUGCUGCACUGCACUAUAACUUCAACAGUGCCAGGAUAGUGCUAAAAAUGACGACGGAACGGACAGGUAUGUCCUGAAAGGGUCUAAACCAAAGAAACAGUGGGUUGUCAUUCCACUGAAGGAAAAUGUGUCAUAUGGCUACGUGGACAAGUUAUUCGCAGAGCUCUUCAGAUGUUUGAGCAAGUGGCCAACAUAUGAAAGUGCCGAGAGGGCAAAUCCACGUGUGAAGCGGCCAACACUGUGCAGCUCCUAUGGAGAGAAGCCAAGCAUCGAAGAAGUUAGGCAGAAUCAUUGGAGUCGAUUCCAAAGAUAGAUACACCCGUAUGCAAGUUGAAGGGAGACUGCACACAGAGAAGAAUGAAAGGAAUGCCCUUGUAGCUGAUGCUUUGGAUGUGUAUCACACUUCACACAAAAGGUAAAGGUGCCUCUUUUAGACGUAAAGCACUGAGAGAAACAAAAAUAAUGCAAUCAAUGCAAUUUUCACCCUUAUUUUCAUAAGUCUAACACCCAGCACAAGGCCCUAACUUACGCACUAGCUAGCAUUUAUAUUGUGGUGUGUGACACUCGCAUAAUUGUAGGUUGCUUGGAGCAGGUGAGCUGGAUCAGCUGUAGUGAUGAUGGUAGUGUCUGUGCUCCUGAACUGACCUUGACAAACUCGUGACAAAAUGUGGACUACAGAUACAAGACAAGUGGGAUAUGACAGCUCAUGCAUACCACGACAGGGGCAACAGAUGAAAAUUAUGACCGUGAUUGCCAGAUGACGACAAAAUGGUGCAAUGCGAAGAAUGGUCUAUUUUUAAUUGUGGCUGCCUUCUCACUGAAGAUAAGUAUUGCACGUACAUACAAUCUUAUACAUAUUAUAUAUAGUAGGUUACAAUGACUUGAGCAACAACACAGUAUAACAUUGGUAUAAUUAUCUGUUGCAGGUAGUCUGGCUGAAGGUAGAACCUUGAGAACAGGUGACUGCAGUUGCCAUGUAGGAUACUUUUGGGACGCUGGUACGCGAUAUAACACUGAAUAUAUUAUGUAAGCAAACAUCGAUAAAAUGCGUUAUCACAGAUAAAGGCAAAAUGGUGAAAUGCGAAGAAUGGCCUGUGCUGUUUGGUUAUGGCUGCCUUCUCACCUAAGAUAAGUGUUACACUUAUAUACAACCUAACAUAUAAAAUAUAGUAGGUUGCAAUGACUUGAGAAACAACACAGUGUGACAUUGGUAUAAUUAUCUGUUGCAGGCAGUUACAUUAUGCAGGCAAACUGAGCAAACAUGGAUAUAGUUGGAUGUGAUCACAGAUGAAGCAAGAAUGGCACAUCUAUGCAAAGAAUGACAAGAGUGGAAUGAACUUCUGUUCCAUGAAAUAUGGAUUCCUUCACACACAAGAUAAGUAUCACAUUUGCACACAUCAUGAAAUUUUCAACAUAUUAUUAGCGACGUCACUUUUAUGGACAUAAGGUUCGCAAUUAACCUGCUGCUUCACAAAGUUUGAGCACCUUGAGGAAUUCCAGAGAAAUUAGCAGACUAAUUUUUGAACUGUUGCAAAUUGUGAAUUGACAUCACCAAGUAUAUUUUAGAUCAGCUUGAAAAGCUAGAUGAACACACUGGUGUAACUUUGUAGCUUCAGAAGAAGUAAUGCUGUGGCAGUCUGUAAGGAAGAGCUGCACGAAGCUAACUUGCACUAACCUGACUAGAACAAACUAACCUAACCUAAAAUAACUUGAUCUAACACGACAAUGUUGAAAGCGGUCUGCCCCGACAACCUCAGAUGUAUAAACAAUUGGGUCCGUCGGAUCGUCUGUGGUAUGAGGACCUAGACUGUUUCCUAACCUAACCUAGAGCUGCACGAAGCUAACUUGCACUAACCUGACUAGAAUAAACUAACCUAACUUGACCUAACACGACAUAAUGUUGAGCCGACGGACCCCGAUGUAUAAACAAUCGUGUCCGUCCGAUGGACCUUUAGACACUUCCUUCUAAGAUAUUACAAAGGCUAAGAUUCAUAUGGUUAUACAUUAUCACAGACGAAGAGAAAAUGGCACAUUGUGAAGAAUGCGGCUUGGUGACAGCAGAGUUGUACGUAACGCGUUACUAGUAAUUGCGUUACUAGUAAUCAAUUACUUUUUUCAGUAAAUUUUAACGUAAUCAAUUAAUUUUGUGAGCAAGUAAUUUUCCAAGUAAUCUGAUUACAAUUUUCGGUAAUCAAUUACUGAGUAAUCGAUUACUUUUUUAACCUUCUGUCAACAAU